CAACUUAUUUUUCAAAAUCUAAUAGCCUGGAAGCUUGAAGAUCUCCUACUUGUCUCACUAAGGAAUGCCAUCAAAAGGUUUUUAAAAGAGGGAGACAGAGGUUUUUCCUUGCACCCCAUGCAUUUAGGUCUGACAGGACACAAUCUGUUUCUUCUACCACCAGUUCAGCAGAAAUGAAGAAGGUGAUUCUGCUUUGUAUGAUGUACAAGAAUAGCUACCACUUCAGAGAAAAUGAGCCCUGAGAGGCGUUUCUGAUUGUGAGAAUAUUAAGGGUAGUCACUGUCAGACUACUGCAACAAGGACAAAGUGAGUUUACCAAGGGAAUAAGGUAAAUAUGAAACUAAGCUUGGAUUUUAAAUAAUCUGGAUCCAUGAGAGCUCUAAGCAUUGGGGGGCAUCUGCUAUUUAUACUUGCUAAGCAAGGUUUGACUGAGCUUAAGAUUCAUCAUAACUGCUGGCUUGCAACACUGGAAAAACAUACAGCAGAUAUUUCUUCUAUGAUUCUGUGUUUCUCCUGUUUCUUCCCUCUUACCUAAUGUUGUAUUCUUCAGGUGGCCCUAAAAGACACUAACUGACUGAGAGAGACAUGGCUCAGACAGCACGGCAGCAAGCCCUCAAAAAUUUACAUGGCAUCCUGGUUCUGGUAGCAUUUAUAUGAGGCUUCUGUCUAUUAUUCAGCACCGUAAGUUGGUGGCUAAAGGAAGAAAUAACCUUUCUAUGAUCAGGAAAAGUAAUUUGUCAAAGAUUUGCAUUCCCAUCCAGACUGAUUACAGAUCUGAGACUAAACUGUGAUAGAAAUACAGGAAUUGCCAUGGGGGACCAGUGUAAUGGCCUACUUAAUGCAAUAUCCACUCAUUGACAUGUGGUCAGUUAAGAAGGUAGAAGUUGCUUCAAGACAGUGAGGCUGAGAAGAAGAAAUGCAAAUAAUUUUUUCUACAUAAGGUUUUGUUAUCCAGU